GAUCAUGGCUCAGGAUGAACGCUGGCGGCGUGCUUAACACAUGCAAGUCGAACGAAACACCUUAUUUGAUUCUCUUCGGAACUGAAGAUUUGGUGAUUGAGUGGCGGACGGGUGAGUAACGCGUGGGUAACCUACCCUGUACAGGGGGAUAACGAGUCAGAAAUGACUGCUAAUACCGCAUAAGACCACAGCACCGCAUGGUGCAGGGUAAAACUCCGGUGGUACAGGAUGGACCCGCGU
rnacentral:rRNA from 1 species